ACAACUUCAAAAUACUACAAAUCAUAUGUGACUCUUUACUGUACCACAUGUACUAUAUAUAGCGACACAGAGACUGUUCAAAUUUUAAAAACCGAUCCAAGAUUUUGGCACUGGAAGGAACAUGGUUUGGGCUUUAGGAGGUCUGAGGAGAUUGCAAGUGUAGCACACUUUCUGCGACAGGUAGUACAUCUCUUUGAAUUAGUUGAGUCUCACAUAAUUAUAUAUUUUUGAAGGUAUGUGAGACUUAUGUAGUUUAAAUGUCUGAGAAACUUUUUACUUGUGUUAUCCACCAACCCUUCGUGGUCACUAUGGUCCGUUCCUGUAAUUUUAUAAUUUAAUUUCGGUUGUUGUA